rnacentral:rRNA from 1 species
GAUGAACGCUGGCGGUAUGCUUAACACAUGCAAGUCGAACGGUACCUUCGGGUAUAGUGGCGGACGGGUGAGUAACGCGUGAGAAUCUAUCUUCAGGUCGGGGACAACAGUUAGAAAUGACUGCUAAUACCGGAUGUGCCGAAAGGUAAAAGAUUUAUUGCCUGAAAAAGAGCUCGCGUCAGAUUAGCUAGUAGGUGGUGUAAGAGACUACCUAGGCUUCGAUCUGUAGCUGGUCUGAGAGGACGAUCAGCCACACUGGAACUGAGACACGGUCCAGACUCCUACGGGAGGCAGCAGUGGGGAAUUUUCCGCAAUGGGCGAAAGCCUGACGGAGCAAUACCGCGUGAGGGACGAAGGCUCUUGGGUCGUAAACCUCUUCUCUCAAGGAAGAUUCAGACGGUACUUGAGGAAUAAGCAUCGGCUAACUCUGUG